UGCAUUUACAUAUGUUUAAUGUUACUUUUGUAUUGUGAAAUAGAUACUUAAAGCUGCUUUGGGAUAGUUCACAUAAGCGAUCGCUUUAAAAUUGAUAAAAAUACGGAAGUUUGAAAAUUGCUGGGACGUACUAUACAUAUUGUCCCAGUAGUUCCGAAAGGGUUAAUGACGUAACCCUAAAAGAAGUGUAACAAAAAUAUAAAUGCAAAAUUGUGUUUGGGAAAAAGUUCGUGUGCCGUACAGAUCGAGACGCCGUUGGCUGAACACUGGAAUUUGCUGACGCACCUGAUCCACAAUAGCAAAGUCAAUGUCGGCUGUUACAGUCUGUUCGCCUUCAUCGGCGCACGCGAUGAUCUUCGCCCACGGGUCGAUGAUCAUUGAAUGGCCGUAGGCAACAUAA